rnacentral:rRNA from 1 species
GAUGAACGCUGGCGGCGUGCCUAAUACAUGCAAGUCGAGCGGGGUCUGGCCCUUCGGGGCGGGACCCAGCGGCGAACGGGUGAGUAACACGUGGGCAACCUGCCCGCAAGACCGGGAUAACUCCGGGAAACCGGAGCUAAUACCGGAUAAUCCUUUUCUCCGCCUGGAGGAGAGGUAAAAGACGGCCUUGGCUGUCACUUGCGGAUGGGCCCGCGGCGCAUUAGCUGGUUGGUGAGGUAACGGCUCACCAAGGCGACGAUGCGUAGCCGACCUGAGAGGGCGAUCGGCCACACUGGGACUGAGACACGGCCCAGACUCCUGCGGGAGGGCAGCAGUAGGGAAUUUUCCGCAAUGGGCGCAAGCCUGACGAGCAC